rnacentral:rRNA from 1 species
UACGUGAUCACAUUAUGGUGGACAUAUCAUUCAAGUUUCUGACCUAUCAGCUUUAGACGGUAGGGUAUUGGCCUACCGUGGCUAUGACGGGUAACGGGGAAUUAGGGUUCGAUUCCGGAGAGGGAGCCUGAGAAACGGCUACCACAUCUAAGGAAGGCAGCAGGCGCGCAAAUUACCCAAUCCUAAUACAGGGAGGUAGUGACAAGAAAUAACAAUACAGAGCCUUACGGUUUUGUAAUUGGAAUGAGUUAAGUAUAAACCCCUUAACAAGUAUCAAUUGGAGGGCAAGUCUGGUGCCAGCAGCCGCGGUAAUUCCAGCUCCAAUAGCGUAUAUUAAAGUUGUUGCAGUUAAAAAGCUCGUAGUUAAUUUUCUGUUAAUUUUUAUAUACAAUACUACGGUAUUUAUAUAAUAUUAACAUAAUUCAUAUUACUUUUUAGUAUAUGAAACUUUACUUUGAGAAAAUUAGAGUGCUUAAAGCAGGCUAUUGCCUUGAAUACUCCAGCAUGGAAUAAUAUUAAGGAUUUUUAUUCUUCUUAUUGGUUCUAGAAUAAAAAUAAUGAUUAAUAGGGACAGUUGGGGGCAUUUGUAUUUAACAGUCAGAGGUGAAAUUCUUAGAUUUGUUAAAGACAAACUACUGCGAAAGCAUUUGCCAAGGAUGUUUUCAUUAAUCAAGAACGAAAGUUAGGGGAUCGAAGACGAUC